rnacentral:rRNA from 1 species
GAUGAACGCUAGCGGGAGGCCUAACACAUGCAAGCCGAGCGGUAUUGUUUCUUCGGAAAUGAGAGAGCGGCGUACGGGUGCGGAACACGUGUGCAACCUGCCUUUAUCUGGGGGAUAGCCUUUCGAAAGGAAGAUUAAUACUCCAUAACAUAUUGAACGGCAUCGUUUAAUAUUGAAAGCUCAGGCGGAUAGAGAUGGGCACGCGCAAGAUUAGCUAGUUGGUGAGGUAACGGCUCACCAAGGCAAUGAUCUUUAGGGGGCCUGAGAGGGUGAUCCCCCAACUGGUACUGAGACACGGACCAGACUCCUACGGGAGGCAGCAGUGAGGAAUAUUGGUCAAUGGGGUCAAGCCUGAACCAGCCAUCCCGCGUGAAGGACGACUGCCCUAUGGGUUAUAAACUUCUUUGUAUAGGGAUAAACCUUUCCACGUGUGGAAAGCUGAAGGUACUAUACGAAUAAGCACCGGCUAACUCCGUGCCAGCAGCCGGGUAAU